GCUGCACUGGCUUGCAGGAAGCCCAGGGGCCAGUCCCAUUUUCACUCUGUGCAGUCAGGUUUGCCCGCCCCUAGCAGGUCACAGAGGAGGUUCCACAAUCAUCAUGCUGUUGUUUGACCCUGAAUGAUUUCCUGUUUCUUCCAUUAGGCUCCAAAUCAGAGAUCUGCAGCUGGACACUUCAUGCACCCUCUAUCAGGAAACCUGGCUGAAUUGGCUGGGGGAAAAGAAGAGACAGAUGGCCAUCUGUGACUAGAAUAUCCUUACUUGCAGCUUGUGUGAUCCACAGAAACUUGGAGGCUUCCAGGAAAAGUGAGCUUUAUCAUCAAGUAGAAGUUACAAGAACUCACCAAUAUGAAAAAAAAAAAAAAUCAAUUAUUUGGGAUACUCCAACCCCUCCCAACUCCCAGUUCCUGUAGAAGCCAAGGUGUCACUCUCUCAGCUUAUGCUGGGGCAGUGAGAGUGCCUGUACUCCUGGAGAUGUGACCCAGCUUCAUCCCAAGCCUGCACGUGUGUCCUCCCUCUUACCCCAGAAGUGAAUUAUGCUGUGGUCUCUCAGAUGAGCCCAUGGGGACUCCAGCAAGGAUGAGGACUGCAGGGUGUGCUGUAUGGACCUAAGUCCUUGCUGGCCAAAAUGUUUUCUGAUUACAGAAUUGAAUUCUAUAUGAAUCACUCUGUCUGUUCUGAAGUAUUUUCCCGUAGAGGCAGUGGUUAGUAGUUCAGCUUGAGUUAAAUGUUACAUUUUCUGUUUAACUAAUUACAUAUUACUAAAAAAAAUCCACUGUAAACAAAGUUGAGAAACAGUGCCUUAAAGUUUGUUACUGUAUUUAUAGAGGUCAGUCAAGCAUACACUGGUAAAAUAAUAACUGUUUGCUCUGUACAUAAUCUCCUUGUUCUGGAUUACAUCAGCGCUUGCCCGAAUACAAUUAAAGUACCUGACACAC
rnacentral:lncRNA from 1 species